CUGAUGAACCCUUAUAUUUGCUUUGAAGGAUAAAGUUUCUUGUUUUACUAUUUUCUCUUAAGUGCCAAUUGAAUUUUAAGGGAAUGGGGAUUUGGAACAAUUUAGGCUUAUGAUUAGCCUUGAGAUAGCUAAAAUGAUGUAGUUUAAGAGGUCAGUUAAUGGAAAACACUAGAAUAGCCCUCUAAAUUUUUAAUUGAAAAAUUUUCUCAUCAAAUAGAUGAAUCCAGU
rnacentral:lncRNA from 1 species